rnacentral:SRP_RNA from 1 species
GCUGGGCGUGGUGGUGCAUGCCUGUAGUCCCAGCUACUCAGGAGGCUGAGGCAGGAGAAUUGCUUGAACCCGGGAGGUGGAGGUUGCAGUGAGCUGAGAUGGUGCCACUGCACUCCAGCCUGGGCAACAGAGUGAGACUCUGUCUCAA